GUGCUCACUUCAGCAGCACAUAUACUUAAAUUGGAACAUCACAGAGCGUAGCACGCCCCUGCCCAAGGAUGGCACACACAUUCGUGAAGCGUCCCACAUAUAC